rnacentral:lncRNA from 1 species
AAAGUUCCCAGUGGGUUCGGCCGCCGACCUCGCCGACUCACCCACUAGGUCUACUCAGGCAUAUAUGUAGGCAAGAAAGGUAAAACAGAUAGUAACCAACUAUAUAUGUAACUACUACAAUGCCUGUACAAAGCUGGAAGAAAGCAAUAUAUGAAAACUGUAAAUAUACAUGCAUGCUUUUACUGAGUUUACCCAAUCCAUUUUGGUUAACCCUUCGGUUAACAAUUACUCACUGACGCUAUCCCAAAUAUCAGGGAGACGCACAUGCACCCGAUGGGACCGUCAACUGGGGGAGACGCACCUCCUGGUCCAGUAAAGAUGACUACUCCGGAGCUCAUCGUUCAAGGAGGAGCGACCUCACUUGAACCACACAAAUGUGAGUAUGAUCUGAUCCCCUUUAGAGGAUUCAACUGACAAACACUGUCACACUUUACUCUAACUAGUUCUUUAUACUAGUUUCACAAUUCCAUUUCUCGAUGCUAACCAAAUCUCUAGUUGAAUGUCACCAAGUUUACUAUUGCUAUAGUCCAUACAUUCAUAGGGUUCUAUGUUCACAUUCUAAGUUCACAUUUUCUCAACAUUGAUAAACAUUCACAUAUUCAACUAUCACUUGCAUAAUAUCACUACCCUAUGAUGCAUGAAUACAAGUAAUAUGCUCAAUGGAAAACCAUAGACAUAAAAGGUGAUUCAAAGACUUCGGAUAGCACCACCCACCUGUAGUGGUGUCAACGACUAGAAUCCACGUCUCGGAAUGUGUCGACAACUAGCUCUCGCGACUCAGUGCAAAUAGAACUAGAACAGUCUCUACCGUGAUUAGCGCGUCGUCGACCUGUCGAAAUGUCAAUUUAGACUUUUGAGCAUGUUUAACUUUCAUUUAUAUAAGAAUAAAAGAGAUUAAAAUUGAGUUACAUACUCAUUUUCCACAACUUUGCAUUUCAAUUCUUACUUGUAUAUAUGUAUAUUCUAUGACUAUAUACAUUUACUUAGUCUAAUUACUAAGCUUCCCUUUAUCAACUCUAUACUUUAAUAGCCUCCCAAUUCCCUCUUUCUACAGCAAUUAUGCUUAUUCUGAUUCAGAAUUUGAAUUAACUCCAUUCAAUCUUCCUUCUCAACUAUUCUCUAUAAAUGCAUAUAUAUACAUAUAUAGUAUAAUUAGUAUUAUAGAGUUCCAAUUAGGAACUAACCAAUGCAGUUUUGCAUUCGUAUUAGCUCAAUUAGUUUGAUCUCAGCUCUAAUAAUAAGAAUUUCAAAUGCUGAAAUUCAGUUGCUGAAACUCAAUUGCUGAAAUCUGCACUAUGCUUCCAUUCUUCUCAGCUUAAUUCUUCAAAAUCUGCACUAUGCCUCUACACCAACUUCUCUUCACUUGUUACCUUCUUUUAGGCUAAUUUCUACUACCACUAGUAGCCCUUCUAUGCAGAAAUCAAAGUGGAUUUACCUCAGAUUUCAUUUACAAUAAUCUAACACCUACAUUUCUAUAUGCAUGUAGGCAGUUUGCAAGUACCAGUUUGCAUACUUGAAAUUGUUAAAUUUCAGCUGCAGCCCCCUAGAAACUAAUUUCAACAAUUGAUACUCUUAACUUUGUACACUCUUCUAUUGGAAUUAACACUUAUCAAUCUUGGGAAUAAGUAUCCAUCUCACCUAAUUCAAGGCUCCAUCAGAUUUGCUGCAGUUGAACUACCAAAGAAGCUCCACCAAGGCUUCUUCAACUUCACAAUCAGAAUUUCUGUUUUAAAAUCCUCUUUUCCAAGUAGUUAACCUUUCUAAGCAUAAAUACUAAUCAAGAUUACCUUGAUUAGAUGCUGUUCCAACAACUAGCAGUUUCAUACUCCUCUCUUUACUUCAGCUUCUUCUGAAAUUUCUAUAUAACCGUAUCAAUUUAACUUAGUUAAAAGCAACUCACACAAUCAAUUAUGCUCAGCCUAAUAGGGAAGCAGUUUACUUACUUUAAUUCCUAAUUUUCCUUAAUCAAAGCAUCAACUUAGCAGCUUCAAUCAGCCUGAAGCUUCAAAUCCCACCUUAAUUAGAUACUUCUUUUAAUUAAUCUCAGCUUUAAAAAGCCUUCCUUGCUGCUCCACAAAAUUCUUCUUAUCAUCAACUUGUUGCCUCCCUCAAUUGCUCGGUUUCCAUCAGCCUAGAGAGAGAAAGAGAUGAAGAAAUGGAUUAGAAUAAGCUGAGGGAAUAAGUCCUUGAUACGUGUACAUCCUCAGCUUCACUGAGUUAAAGGGAUAAGAUCAGAAAUUGCUACUUAACCCUCCUAAAAUGCUGAAACUGCAUUGUAGCCUGCUGGUUUACAAUUCAGUCCCUGCAGUUCGCAGUUUAGUCCCUGCAGACUUACAAUGCAGUCCCUGCACUAACCAAAACCUGGCAGCAGCAAUUUGAAGCCUUUGUCGCGCAUCUAAUUCAUUCUAAGUCCACUUAAACACUUCCGAAACGUACUAACACACUUCCACAAGUUAUCAAAUUAAUUUGGAAACAAUUAAUUUUCAUUUUUGCAUCAAUUUGGCCAUUUUGACCAAAUCGACUAAAAUUUCAGCUUUCGAGUUGCAAUGACAAUUGGAGAUCUUUAACCAUUUCGAUUCCAUUCGUGUCUAUUCUCACACUUCCAAAAUAAUUCGGAGGUACUAUAAUUAACAUUCAUACCUCACUUUGAUCGCAUAGGUUACGUUAGCGUCAUAAUCCGAAAAUUCCCUUUCAAGUUCAUUUCGCGCCCGAUUUGUGCCCGAAUACCCAAUUACCUCCAGAGAUCAUUCCCACACGUCCAGAAACACUCUGGAAUGAUGCACAUCCAAUUCACAUUUCACUUUAAUAUUCCAGAUUAAAAUUAGCAUCGCAACCCGAAAUUUUUCGUAUAUUACAAUCUCCCCUCCUUAAAUAGUUUCGUCCUCGAAACUAAAAUUCAUACCUCAAUCUUCUUGAUCAAAUAGAUGGGGAUAAAGUUCUCAUAUGGCUUAUUCCAAUUCCCAAGUGACUUUUCGUCUCGAGUGACUGUUCCAUUGCAUGUUCACAUAAGGAAUGGUGCGAUUUCGUAAUUUUCGCACUUCACGAUCAAGAAUACAUACUGGAUGUUCUUUAUAUGUCAUAUUCUCUUGCAAAUCCGCUGGCUCGUACUCCAGAAUAUGCCCUGAAUGAUGCACCUAUUUAUGGAGAUUUAAAACGUGAAACAUAUUGUGUAUUCCUUCGAAUUUCGGUGGCAAAGCCAAUCGAUAGGUUACUGCUCCAACUCGUUCUAGGAUCCCGUAAGGUCCAAUGUAUUGAGGACUAAACUUUCCUCGAACACCAAAUCUUUUUUUCUUUUUCUUUUUCUUUUUUUUUUUUUAUCCUGCGCAUUGGCGAUACCCUAAAGAAUACUGAAUCGCCCACAGCAAACUCCAAGUUCUUUUGGCGCUUAUUGGCAUAAUUCUUGGAGCACAUCAGGACCAAGUAUCAGUUUUUUUUUUCUCCUACUUCACUCCAAUGAAUAGGAGAUCGAUCAAAGCUUCAAUUGGUGUCAUUUCGAUUUUUUUUUUUUUUUUUUUGAUAGCUGUUAUUAUAUGCAGCUCGGCCAUUGCCAAGAAUUCAUGCCAACUUCCUCUGAAGCCCACUACACACGCUCGAAACCUAUCCUCCAAAAUUUGAAUCAUCCUCUCAGAUUGUCCAUCCGUCUGAGGAUGAAAACUGUACUAAAAUCGAGUCGUAUGUCACGAGCAUACUGUAAACUCUUCCAAAAGCGAGAUAUAAACUGUGGAUCUCGAUCAGAUACAAUUGACGUCGAGACUUCAUGUGAUCUCACGAUCUCGGGUAACCACUUGUAUUCAUUCUCAUAAUAUAAUUAAUCCCGCACAUCCAGGAUAUACCCUGUUCUUUCCAAUCUUAUUAUUCAAGUCUCCAUGUCUCAACAGCAAUGUAAGUCAAUUUCUAUGACUUACUAUACUCCAAGAUCUUUUACUAUCAAAUGUUUAUUUGACUUGGUUACCACACCAAUUCAAUCCUCACCUAAGUGAUAUGCUUUAGAAUUAGCAUUCUCCUCAUACAAUUAGCGACUACCCGCACCAUCGACUUAACAUGCCUAUAUCAUCAUUCUUAUCAUCAACAGAUGAUAACCAAUUCAUACCAAUAAGCAUCAUUUUACUUCAAAGAAUAACACUAUCUGUUUUUCUCACGGUGGGGAUCAUUCCUGUAUGGCGCUUACUCGAUUCAUAUAUGAACUUAGUCUGUAGACUACCUUGACUCAUAUAUAAACUUAUCAAGUAACAUCCACUAUACCCAUUACUCUCUGGUGAAGUCUAUUUCGACUCUCAACUGACAUCGCUACCUGCAAUUUUGCAAUACCCUGCUCAAUUGUGUGUUUAAUCCCACACAAUUUUCGUUCCUCGUCCAAAAGGUUCAUUCUCAUCUUCACACUCUAAUGAUCUGAAGACAUAAUCCUCCAACAUUUCACGUGGCUUCCACUACACACUAAUCUCAAAGAAAACCUUUUACUUUUCCGGCCACGUUCACAAUAUAUCAAUCUCUCGCCACGAGUUUCCACGAACACCUCGUUCGUGCUUCUAAUCUCAAUUUCUCAUCGGCGCCUAACUCGGCGGUUCAAAAUAGGCAAAUAGUAGGACCGAGCCUCCGCUCCUAAGGUCACUAUCCUCAAUUUCUCUUUAUCUUUUGAUGCUACAAGCCACGAUCAAUGUCCAUUCGUUCUUGCAACGAAUUUAUACGAACCCGCCAUUCGUGGUUCAGGCCAAAACUCGCUAACAGAGUUAUUGGCCGCACCGACCAUCGGUUUCCAUAGGUGGACCAAGGGCCACCAAUCCUACGUAGGCCUACAGCCUAAACCGAUCUCAACGACGCCUAGCGUCUCUCGCUCGCAAGCGCAAACCCAAUCAUCAUCGGGCGACAUUCUCGUUGGAGAAUUCGCACACACUCCCACUAGGAGCAACCAAGACCCUAAACCACGUCAAGUCCUCGAGUUGGGUCGCUAUACACUCUGUGUGUCCUCGAUCUCACGAUCUAACACGUGGCACUCCACGUACUUGGGUUCAAGCUCGGACUACCGUCCUGACCAAAUCUCUGCCCUACCCGUAGGUGUCGGGCCGCUGCCGCUGCCUUUCGCAGCUGACUGUGCCUGCCCAAUGGGCCCAGGCUCCACAGUUCACAAAGGGUCCAGGCACGGGUCGUCACCAAGCACUACCCGCCGUCGUCGUCCUACACGACAUGCUCUACAGGGCUACACACUCUAGCGGCUCAUAAGCACCAAGUGCGAGCCAACAGUCCUACGAGUGAUCCAUGGCACGCUUCACACUUAGCAACGCUCGAGUGUUACUGCCAACACACUCCCCGGCUAAAUCAUAAUCUACAUUCUACGGACAGCUAACUCAAGUGUCCAGCAUUAUCGCGUCUCUUACUAGAUAUUACACGUUAGGCAACUCAGCCUACGUCUCGAAUACGCAAACACAAAUUCCCUCAACUUAAUUGAGGUACAACUCAACUAACUCGCCAAAACCAGGCGAUCAUCUAACCAACAACUAACUCGCCAAAACCAGGCGAUCAUCUCGUCAUUCGACAACAACGACGCUAUUAACUUUACACAAUCCCUCGGAAUAUCAUCCGAAUUCUCGAAUUCUAGAGUGUCUUCUGACGUUCUAAUUUAAUUCUCAUUACCACCCAAAUGGUUUAAAGAGUAGGUCCACCAUUUCCAUCUUCAUCCCGAGCCCCAACAUUGGCUCACUAUGACUACUCACUAGCACUAUCCAACCGUCUAUUCUACAAUAGACGAUACAUUUUCUUCAUCCUUGCGUGCUAGUGUCAAAUCCAACGCUCUAUCACACUCUUGUAAGUACUAUUUGGAGUUCACAUCAUUCCCAAGUAUACAAUCUUCCUACUGAAGUCAAUUUACUACCAUUUCACUUAUCCAAUAAUACACGCGGCCUUGUCGGUGAAGGUUACUACAACCACUCCUUUUGAGAAAGGUUAGUCAACAGACCUUUCCGAAUUCCAAAUUGACGACUGCAUUCUCUUCCAGGUGUUGCUUAACACUCGAUUAACCACUCGAGCUCAAUAUCAGUCGCUUAUCCUUCAUUCUCACUAAUCAAUUCGCACCCCUUCUGUGCGAGAUAUCAUUUAACUUCAACCACAAGGUGUGGUCCAUUACUUCACCAGAAGUUCAUAGGUUAGAAAAGCGUAUAGCUUUGACACCUUCUCUGUCGAAGUUUCCUUAUUUCAUAAUCGGCCUUGUUUCCAAUAUCCCACACUGUGUACUAAUCAUAGCUUAGCAUGCAGAAAAUCUCUCUACAUACUCUUUCACUGAGCAGUCACUCUGCUAUAGUUUCUCAAACUUAUCUGGAAGUUCACCUGUCAUUUAUCCCAACAAUAUACUUCAUAUCCUGUCCCUGACACACAAAUCCUUCCAGGGAAGAUUUCCCUGAAGCCAAAUCAUAGAUUCUCGACUCAUGAAUAUUCCUUCAUCCACAGCAGAUGGACUAUACUUUCCUGAAGGCCACAAAGGUUAUCCGACUACUCCACAGUCCUCUGGAGUCCAUUGUCUCAAUCCACCAAAUACACUACAGCCUCUCGCUGACAUUGAACUACGACUAUUUAUCGUCACAACCUUACCACGGUGUGACCAACCGAUACCAAAGCUUCGAGUUUCCUCCAAGCUCGGUCAAUUCAGGGGUUCUACUCAUCCCGAACCACAUCGAUCUCAUUAGAGAUCAACCGCACAUAACCACUAAAUGCGCAACAACGCGACCGAUUCUUGACCUUCAAGGUCAAACACGAAACAACUAUCGUCAACCCAGACUCAAAUCAGGCGAAAGUCAUACAAGGGAGCCUAUUCUCAUCACUCGGUUUCAUGUUGUGUGCACCCAACAUGAACACUCCCUGUUGAGAAUAUACUAAACCUUGAAUCUACCUCUAAGAUCCUUUAUAGAGGUAUACAACACACGACCCAAUCGGUUUAACCUUUCGCCACUUACGAAGAUUCUCGUCUCUCACGAACCUAGAUCCUUAUGGUUUUCCAUCCUAAGGUCCCUAGGUCCAUCCUAAACUUUUACUAUCACUUGCUCUGAUACCACUUUAUCUGUCACGUCCCGCUAUCGCCAAUUUGGUCGAUCCGGGCCCGUACACAGACGCCGAACGGACAGAACCUCCACUGUCCGCCCAAGGCUCAACAACAACGAGUACAUGUACAAAGAAAUAAACAGUUCCCAGGAUAACAUUUCAAUAUACAUGGCUUGCACGAGGGAAAGCAACAACCACAAGUGAUAGUAAGCUAACUAUACUGAAAUUUCACUGUACUUUAAAACUUUCAAACUGAACUGGAUAACUGAAAUAUUUAGUUAUUUACAUGCUCUAUAAUACAUUCAUUUACAUGUCUCUGUACAUCAAAAUGUCUCACAUGAACUCAAAAUGGUAAACUACUAUACUCUGGUGUCAGCUAGCUAGGCUGCGGGGCUCUUGCCACGAUCCUCGGCCACACCGCUCGCACUGGAACCUGUAUGGUUAGUGGUGUGAGAACUACAGAAAAGUUCCCAGUGGGUUCGGCCGCCGACCUCGCCGACUCACCCACUAGGUCUACUCAGGCAUAUAUGUAGGCAAGAAAGGUAAAACAGAUAGUAACCAACUAUAUAUGUAACUACUACAAUGCCUGUACAAAGCUGGAAGAAAGCAAUAUAUGAAAACUGUAAAUAUGCAUGCAUGCUUUUACUGAGUUUACCCAAUCCAUUUUGGUUAACCCUUCGGUUAACAAUUACUCACUGACGCUAUCCCAAAUAUCAGGGAGACGCACN